rnacentral:rRNA from 1 species
CCUACGGGAGGCAGCAGUGGGGAAUAUUGGGCAAUGGAGGAAACUCUGACCCAGCGACGCCGCGUGCGGGAUGAAGGCCUUCGGGUUGUAAACCGCUUUCAGCAGGGAAGAAGCGAAAGUGACGGUACCUACAGAAGAAGCACCGGCUAACUAUGUGCCAGCAGCCGCGGUAAUACAUAGGGUGCAAGCGUUGUCCGGAAUUAUUGGGCGUAAAGAGCUCGUAGGUGGUUCGUCACGUCGGAUGUGAAAAUCUGGGGCUCAACCCCAGACCUGCAUUCGAUACGGGCGAUCUAGAGUGUGGUAGGGGAGACUGGAAUUCCUGGUGUAGCGGUGGAAUGCGCAGAUAUCAGGAGGAACACCAAUGGCGAAGGCAGGUCUCUGGGCCAUUACUGACACUGAGGAGCGAAAGCGUGGGGAGCGAACAGGAUUAGAUACCCUGGUAGUCCACGCCGUAAACGGUGGGCACUAGUUGUGGGAACCUUCCACGGUUUCUGCGACGCAGCUAACGCAUUAAGUGCCCCGCCUGGGGAGUACGAUCGCAAGNUUAAAACUCAAAGGAAUUGACGGCUGAGACGNGCGAGACGACGACGAGGGAGAGG